rnacentral:rRNA from 1 species
GUAACCAAUGUCGACUUGGAGGUUGUGCCCUUGAGGCGUGGCUUCCGAAGUUAACGCGUUAAGUCGCCCGCCUGGGAGUACGGCCGCAAGGUUAAAACUCAAAUGAAUUGACGGGGGCCCGCCCAAGCGGUGGAGCAUGUGGUUUAAUUCGAUGCAACGCGAAGACCCUUACCUGGUCUUGACAUCCACGGAAGUUUCAGAGAUGAGAUGUGCCUUCGGGAACCGUGAGACAGGUGCUGCAUGGCUGUCGUCAGCUCGUGUUGUGAAAUGUUGGGUUAAGUCCCGCAACGAGCGCAACCCUUAUCCUUUGUUGCCAGCGGUCCGGCCGGGAACUCAAAGGAGACUGCCAGUGAUAAACUGGAGGAAGGUGGGGAUGACGUCAAGUCAUCAUGGCCCUUACGACCAGGGCUACACACGUGCUACAAUGGCGCAUACAAAGAGAAGCGACCUCGCGAGAGCAAGCGGACCUCAUAAAGUGCGUCGUAGUCCGGAUUGGAGUCUGCAACUCGACUCCAUGAAGUCGGAAUCGCUAGUAAUCGUGGAUCAGAAUGCCACGGUGAAUACGUUCCCGGGCCUUGUACACACCGCCCGUCACACCAUGGGAGUGGGUUGCAAAAGAAGUAGGUAGCUUAACUUCGGGAGGGCGCUUACCACUUUGUGAUUCAUGACUGGGGUGA